AUUGAACGCUGGCGGCAGGCUUAACACAUGCAAGUCGAGCGGGGGAAGGUAGCUUGCUACUGGACCUAGCGGCGGACGGGUGAGUAAUGCUUAGGAAUCUGCCUAUUAGUGGGGGACAACAUCUCGAAAGGGAUGCUAAUACCGCAUACGUCCUACGGGAGAAAGCAGGGGAUCUUCGGACCUUGCGCUAAUAGAUGAGCCUAAGUCGGAUUAGCUAGUUGGUGGGGUAAAGGCCUACCAAGGCGACGAUCUGUAGCGGGUCUGAGAGGAUGAUCCGCCACACUGGGACUGAGACACGGCCCAGAAUCCUACGGGAGGCAGCAGUGGGGAAUAUUGGACAAUGGGGGGAACCCUGAUCCAGCCAUGCCGCGUGUGUGAAGAAGGCCUUAUGGUUGUAAAGCACUUUAAGCGAGGAGGAGGCUACUCUAGUUAAUACCUAGGGAUAGUGGACGUUACUCGCAGAAUAAGCACCGGCUAACUCUGCGCCAGCCGCCGCGGUAA
rnacentral:rRNA from 1 species